AACGAACGCUGGCGGCAGGCUUAACACAUGCAAGUCGAACGCCCCGCAAGGGGAGUGGCAGACGGGUGAGUAACGCGUGGGAAUCUACCCAGUUCUGCGGAACAACAGUUGGAAACGACUGCUAAUCCCGCAUACGCCCUAAGGGGGAAAGAUUUAUCGGAAUUGGAUGAGCCCGCGUAAGAUUAGCUAGUUGGGGGGGUAAUGGCUCACCAAGGCGACGAUCUUUGGCUGGUCUGAGCGGAUGAUCAGCCACACUGGGACUGAGACACGGCCCAGACUCCUACGGGAGGCAGCAGUGGGGAAUAUUGGACAAUGGGCGCAAGCCUGAUCCAGCCAUGCCGCGUGAGUGAUGAAGGCCUUAGGGUUGUAAAGCUCUUUCAGUAGGGAAGAUAAUGACGGUACCUACAGAAGAAGCCCCGGCUAACUUCGUGCCAGCCGCCGCGGUAAUAC
rnacentral:rRNA from 1 species